GGCCCGUACCAAACGAUGCUGGAAUCCCCCAACCAAUCAGCUGUGAUCUGCAUCUUCCGCUUUGCGCAGAAGAAGACAAAAACCAAACAGCUCCAAGAACAGCUCGUCAAACGCAAAAGCGAGCACGCUUCUUGCUCUGCCCGGCGCGGCGCUUCUUCCAGCUCCAUCUCCAUCUCCAUCUCCUCCUCCGUUGAGGUCGGCGGCGGAGCGACGACCGAUGGGGACGAGGCUCGCCGCGCCGGUCGCCGGCAUGGUGAUGGCCGAGUGCGCGCAGGUCGGCCUCAUGAUCGUGAGCAAAGCCGUCAUGUCCAACGGCAUGAGCAACCUCGUCUUCGUCUUCUACUCCAACGCCUUCGCUUCUCUCAUCUUGCUUCCUGCCUCCCUCAUCUUCCACAGGUCGGGACGUCCUCCAUUGACUCCGUCACUGGUUCUUCAGUUCUUCGUGCUCGGCCUCCUUGGAUACUUGGGUACGCCGGGAUCAAUUACAGCUCGCCCACGCUCGGCUCGGCCUUGCUCAACCUCAUCCCGGCUUUCACCUUCCUACUUGCCAUCAUUUUCAGAUUGGAGAGAUUAAACUGGAGCAGUUCAAGUAGCUUGGCCAAGUGUGCUGGAACCAUAGUAUGUGUUGCCGGUGCAUUUGUUGUCACUUUGUACAAGGGGCCAGCUAUUGUGACAUCCUCUCUUUCAAACUUGCAUAAUGAAGUUUUCAAUUUGCAUCAUAAACUUCUGACACCAGAGUCAAACUGGGUUCUAGGAGGUUUGCUUCUUGUAGCUGAUUGUGUGAUGGCUUCAUCAUGGCUCAUUGUACAGGCAUCAGUGCUGAAAAAAUAUCCAGCAGAGUUGAUUAUAGUAUUCUUCUACUGCUUCUUUGUGGCCAUCCAGUCUGCCGCGAUAUCUUUCUUUGUGGAACGAAAGUCAAGUGCUUGGAGCUUAAAGGACAACAUGCGGUUGAUGGCAGUUCUUUACUCAGCCGUUUUUGGCUCUGCUUUCCAAGUUGGUGUAAGUACAUGGUGCCUGCACAGAACAGGACCUGUCUUUGUAUCGAUGUUCAAGCCCCUGGGGAUUGUCAUUGCAGCUGUUGCGGGUGUUCUAUUUUUGGGAGAUAACUUUUAUCUUGGAAGUUUGGUAGGAUCGGUGGCUAUUGUUGUUGGAUUUUAUUCUGUGAUGUGGGGUAAAGCCAAAGAACAGAAAAAGGAUCUUGCUAUCUCAGUGGGUAAUGUGGAACCAAACAAGAAAAAGGUCCCUCUUUUGCAAACUAUUGUUGAAGAGAUGUAAAUAUUUAGCAAAACUUUUGUUUCUGGCCAUGUAAAUUGUGAUGAAAGAAGAAAUUCCUUUGGACAGAAAAUGAUACUUUAUCCAUACAUAAAGAUGUGGGUUGUCUACAUCAGAAAGGUAUUGGCAGCUUCUCUAUCCUGUACUGGGUUUCAAGGACAUUUAUGUGAAACACAGAAACUGAAAAAAGUAAUAAAAAAAUGUUGAGCCCUAUACAAUAGUC